AAGAGUUGCAAAACUCCCUUAACCAUUGUGGACUUACUGUUAUUGUUGCUUCGGCGAGCGGUUCGCCCUAGCGCUCCCCUUACUAAGGGGGCGGCUCGCCGGGCGAAACUAAACUAUUUUUGUAUUAUUGGCUUCUCUGAGUAACUUUUACAAUAAGUUA
rnacentral:misc_RNA from 1 species